rnacentral:rRNA from 1 species
UGGGGAAUAUUGCACAAUGGGGGAAACCCUGAUGCAGCGACGCCGCGUGAAGGAAGAAGUAUUUCGGUAUGUAAACUUCUAUCAGCAGGGAAGAAAAUGACGGUACCUGACUAAGAAGCCCCGGCUAACUACGUGCCAGCAGCCGCGGUAAUACGUAGGAUGCGAGCGUUAUCCGGAUUUACUGGGUGUAAAGGGAGCGUAGACGGCGUAUCAAGUCUGAUGUGAAAGGCAUGGGCUCAACCCGUGGACUGCAUUGGAAACUGGUAUGCUUGAGUGCCGGAGGGGUAAGCGGAAUUCCUAGUGUAGCGGUGAAAUGCGUAGAUAUUAGGAGGAACACCAGUGGCGAAGGCGGCCUGCUGGACUGUAACUGACGUUGAGGCUCGAAAGCGUGGGGAGCAAACAGGAUUAGAUACC